GGAAGCGUGCCCGAAAAUAGGGACUACUUUGAUAGAGUAACUACAGAGGAAACAACCUCUCUCUUCCCA
rnacentral:tRNA from 1 species